AUGACAGGGUUUCUUGACACGGUAGUUGGCGCAGCAAUAGGAUGGCUGGUGCAAAGCAUCCUUGGGACCUUCUUCACUGAACAGAUUGAAGACUGGAGUCGUGAAAUUGGACUUGCUGAAGAUGUGGAGAAGCUCAAAUUUGAGAUGAGAAAUGUGGAGAUGGUUCUUGCUGCUGCCGAGGGAAGGAGGAUUGAAAACAAGCCUCUGGCACAUUCACUGGAUUUUCUCAGAGAGCUGCUUUAUGACUCGGAAGAUGUGAUGGACGAGCUCAAUUACUACCGACUCCAGCAACUGAUCGAAGAAGGGAAAGGUUGUAGUUCUCCUAGUGAUGUUAAUCCUGAUGGAAGCUAUGCGUCCUCAUCCAGUCCAUCUUCUGCUUUUAAAUUAGUACGCAGUGCCACAAGCCAAAUGACGAGUUGGGCCCCGUUCAGCAGAAAAAGGAAACGUGAAGAGGUUCCAGCUCUAGCUCCUGAGAUUAAACAAGACAUUUCUCACAGAAUCAACAGAAUAGUGAAACAUUUAUGCACUAUUGGCAAUUCUGUGCAGAGAGUUCUUCAGCUUGAGAUCUCGCGCCCCACUGCAACAUCAAGUGAGAGUCAGAAUAUUUGUAGGAAUGUUCGCAUGACAACUUCUGUUCCAAUUGAAUGUAAGGUGUAUGGGAGGGAUGCAGAGAGAGACAAGAUAAUAGAGCUGUUGAUAGAAGGGGGAUCUAGUCAUCUGAAUGUUUUGCCAGUGGUUGGUAUGGGUGGUAUUGGGAAGACGACUCUUGCUAGAUAUGUAUACAAUGAUGAAAGAAUUGUAAAUCAUUUUGAUUUGCAAAUGUGGAUUUGUGUAUCCACGAACUUCGAUGAAAGGAGACUUACACUUGAGAUCUUAGAGCAUGUCUGUAAAGAUAGACAAGAGUACGAAAAUGUAAGCAAUUUCAAUGUACUACAGGGGAUCCUUUUGAAGUACAUCAGAAAGAAAAGAUUUCUGCUCGUAUUGGAUGACAUGUGGGAAGACAAGGACAAGAUUGGAUGGAUUAAACUCUUGGCUCCAUUGAAAGGUAAUCAAGUAAGUGGUUGCAUGAUACUAGCAACAACUAGAAUGAAAUCAGUUGCAGAAAUGAUACGAACGAUGGAUGAAGUCAGAAUGAGUGGCCUGAAUGAAAAUGAGUUUUGGGUGUUAUUCAAGGCAUGUGCAUUUGGUAAUGAGAACCACGAGGGUGAUCCUCGUUUGCAGUCUAUUGGCAAACAGAUUGCUGAAUCACUAAAGGGCUGCCCACUUGCUGCACGAAGUGUUGGUGCACUUUUGAACACAAGUGUUAGCGAUAAGCAUUGGAGGAUAGUUCGGGACAAAUGGAGAUCUCUCCAAGAAGAUGCUGAUGGUAUUUUAUCUGUCUUGAAGCUCAGUUAUGAUUAUCUACCAGUUCACCUUCAACACUGUUUCUCGUACUGCUCUUUGUUUCCAAAGAGCAAACUAUUUGAUGGGAAAGAAUUGGUCCAUGCAUGGAUAUCACAGAAUUUUGUGCAGUGUGAAGACCCUACCAUGAAAUUGGAGGAAAUAGGGCGGCGAUAUUUGGAUAGAUUAGUUGAUUUGGGCUUCUUCCAGAAGUUUGGCUCACGCUAUGUUAUGCAUGAUCUAAUGCAUGAAUUGGCAAGGAAAGUUUCAUCAAACGAGUGUGCUACUAUACAUGGAUUGAAACCUGAGGCAAUUCAACCAUGUGUUCGCCAUCUGUCAAUCAUAACUACUGCUUUUGAUAAAGAUAAACCUGGCAGUUUUCCUCAUGAGAAGUUUGAUCAAAUACUUCAGAAGGUUGGGCCUUCGCAAAAAUUGAGGACUUUGAUGUUGUUUGGGCGAAGCAGCGUAAAUUUAUUUGGGUCCUUACAUACUUUAUGCAGGAAGGCAAAAUGUUUACGAUUCCUAAGAAUUUAUGUGACAGAUGCUGACAUCAGCUCUAUACACAGUUUAUUAAAUCCAUGCCAUCUUCGCUAUCUUGAAUAUAUUCAUGUUGACAUUACAGACAGAUCAUUAUAUAGAGUCUACAACAACACUGUGUUUCCUCAAGCACUGACAAGAUUCUAUCAACUUCAAGUAUUGAAUGUGGGAAUUUCAGGCAAUUUUGUUGUGCCUGCUAAUAUGCAUGAUCUUGUUAAUUUGCGCCAUCUUAUUUCUCAUGAGAAAGUGCAUCAGGCAAUAGCUUGUGUUGGCCACAUGACCUCUCUUCAGGAAUUAAGUUUCAAGGUUCAAAAUGUCGGUAGUUUUGAGAUAAGAGAACUUCAGUCCCUAAAUGAGCUUGUACUACUUGAAAUUUCUCAACUUGAAAACGUGAAGACUAAAGAAGAGGCCAGUAUGGCCAGGCUGUCAGACAAAGAGUAUCUAGAAACAUUGUUGUUGUCAUGGGAGGAUAACAGCACGAGCCGUCAAGCAGAGGCAGCAAAGGAUGUGCUUGAAGUUCUUCAGCCACAUCAGGAUCUCAAAACUCUAGAAAUAACCGGAUAUGGUGGUGCUACCUCCCCAACCUGGCUUUCUAAUAAUUCCUCACUUACCUUGCUGCAGAUACUUCAUCUAGAGAAGUGCAGGGAAUGGCAAAUUCUUCCAACUCCUGAAAUGCUUCCUUUCCUUAGGAAGUUGACAUUGAUCAGAAUGUUGAAUUUAACGGAAAUCUCAGUUCCUUCCUUGGAAGAGCUGAUCUUGAUUGAUAUGCCCAAAUUGGAAAAGUGUAUCGGUUCUUACGGAAUGGAAUUGACUUCCCGUCUAAGGGUUUUGAUGAUCAAAAACUGCCCUCAACUGAACGAGUGCACUCAUUUCCAGAGUUACUCUUCUUUCGACGCAGAGCAGAAGUCAUGGUUUCCGUCUCUCCGCAAACUGUCCAUCGGGAUGUGUCCUCAUAUACUAAACAACUGGCCAGUCCUUCCAUUAAGAGAUAUGGGGGCGCUCAAGGAGCUGGAGUUGAUGGACCUGCAUGUUGUGAGAGAAUUGGCAGUCCCUUCUCUGAAGAAGUUGGUGUUGAUAAAAAUGUCAAGCCUGGAAGUUUGCAGCAGUCUAACGACUUCCCCACCUCUGCAACUUUUACCUUCCCAAGGUGCUCAAAGGGGAUGGCCAUCAAGUCUCCGUAGACUCGUCAAGGGGGUUCGGACCCUUCCAACAAUAAGGAUAAGACAGAGAGGUUUCACUGUCGAAUCUAAUGAGUUGUCCCUGCUUGAUGACAGUAUCCUGGCGUUCAAUAACCUUGGGGGCACAAUAUCAUUGCGCAUAGAAAAUAGUCCAAAUCUUGUAUCUCUUUCAAUUGAAGCUUUCAGCCAGCUCAUUGCUUUAGAGUAUUUAUAUAUACGCAACUGCCCUAAUCUGACCAUGUCAAACACUAUCUCAGAGUUUGUCCAGGAAAACAGUAUGCCUGCAAGCAACAUUGUCCUCCCAUCUCUCAAACAUGUUAACAUUGACACAUGUGGAGUAACAGGGAGGUGGCUAACACAAAUGCUUUCACAUUCACCGUCCCUUGAGAGGUUGCAAUUAACUAACUGUCCGCAGAUAAAGUUUCUAUCAAUCAGUCAACCUACAGAAACGGAAGGAACCAGGAGUUUGGCUUCAACAGCGAUGACCACAGCCCAAGAUGAACAGGAACUAAAACUGCCAUAUAAUCUCCUAUGUUCUCUCAAGACGUUAUGUAUUUCGAAGAGCCUGGACCUGGAGUUCUGCGGGGGUAAGAGAGAGCUCACAGGAUUCACCUCUCUUAGGAAGCUACACCUUGUUGGUUGCCCCAAGCUAGUCUCAUCGUGGAUUGGGGAAACAAAUGAUGAUGGUACCAUGCAUGUUAGUAGAUUGCUCCCGCCAUCACUUGAAGACCUUUGUAUGGGUCCUCUCCCAGAAAACUUGCAGUCAUUCACUCCCCAAGGCCUUCUCUGCCUCAAAAGGUUAAAUCUAUUUAGUGGCCCGUGUUUGAAGUCUGUGCAGCUACAUUCCUGUACGGCCUUGGAGUUCUUGCGAAUCGCAUGUUGUGUCCAGCUGGCUGCACUGGAGGGCUUGCAGUUUCUCAGCUCUCUCCGAAGCUUGUGGAUGGAGAUGAAUCCCGAGCUGUCUUCUGCAUGGGAUCUCAAACUGCUGGAGCAAGAACAGGGUGGCAAUCAAAUUCAGCUGCUUCCUCCCUCACUUGUAGAACUUCGGAUCUGGAAGCUCACAGAUAGUGUCCUGUCCGGUCUCCUGUCCUGCCUUCCUGCCUUGACCAAAUUAGCAAUAUUGAUCAGUCCAGAAUUGACGUCUCUACAGUUGGCAUAUUGCACGGCACUGGAAGAGUUGGAAAUUGGAUAUAGCAAGUCGCUUCCAUCGAUCGAGGGGCUCCAGUUCUGUAGAAACCUGACAUCCUUGAAAGUAUUUAAGUCCCCUGACUCCAGUUCCUGUUUGGAGUAUGUGUCGCGCCAGCAAGGGGCCUCUGAGAUCUGGUCUCGACUGAAAACUCUUAACAUUAGUGACCCAUCAUCUGCCCUUUCCAAGCCCUUGUGCAAACAGCUCACAACUCUAAGAUGCCUAAACUUCACCUGUGGGGGUGAUAAACAGGGAGAGACCUUGGUGACCCUAACAGAAGAACAAGAGAGCGUGUUACAGCUUCUAACCUCACUCCAAAAACUUGUAUUUCAUAGCUUCCCGAAUCUCUUGUCACUUCCUGCAAACCUACAAAGCCUGACCUCCCUCAAGAUGUUAUCUAUCAAUCAUUGUCAGAGGAUCACAAGGCUUCCAGACAUGGGCCUUCCACCUUCACUUAGGUACCUUAAGUUAGUCAGUUGCAGUGAGGAGCUAGGUAUGCAAUGUAGAAUUGCAGCAACUAAAAAGCUAAGGGUCAAGAUUGAAUAUCUGAAAUAA
rnacentral:rRNA from 1 species